UAAGUUUUACUAAGCUUGGCUAACAUAUAAAAUAGUCAAGAGACAAAGUCAACUAUUCAAGGCUAAAUCUCUGCACCUCAAAAGAGUCGACAAGUAAUUGUAGUAUGAGGUAUUCAAAUUUCAAGUUACAGUAGUGCAGCAUGUGGAACGGCAAAUUGCGGUGUCUGGCGGCACGCGUUUCAAGCACUCUGAAAAACUAUUUGCGCACAGGUCCUGGCGGAGGUCGUGAUGCUUUUCAGCUUUUCCCGGAGACCGGGAAGAGGAGACAGACACACAUGCUGGGCACAUACAUAAUUUAGCACGGCACUUGGACAACAUUAACGUGUGUAGCCUAGCGCUGAGUGCUGCUCCUUCUUCGCCUGCUGCUGUUGGAAAACCUAAACGGAUACGCCGCACAGACACACAGACACACUGACAAGCGGACAAGGACACACCCACACAGACACAAAAGUGCACCUGGUGUGCCUACGUAUAUACACAUUAUCUGACGUGCACGGGAAAUAAUCUCACAGACUCUCAAGAACAACAGAUUCGAUAAAGGAAUUUAUAUUUCUCAAAUUCAACAAUUUUACUUUGGUGUAAAGUAUUACUUUUAUUCAAACAU
ensembl:ncRNA lncRNA:CR43053 long non-coding RNA:CR43053